rnacentral:lncRNA from 1 species
GUAGUUUCAACCCCCUGCUAUGUGCAGGGUUGCCAACCACCAGAGCAGGCUGCCCAGAGCCACAUCCAGCCUGGCCUUGAAUGCCUCCAGGGAUGGGGCAUCCACAGCCUCCUUGGGCAACCUGUUCCAGUGCGUCACCACCCUCUGGGUGAAAAACUUCUUCCUAAUAUCCAACCUAAACCUCCCCUGUCCCAGUUUAAAACCAUUUCCCCAGUUCUGCGAGGCAGAUGCUGCUUUCCUGACCUGUGGUGUCUGAACCCACUGCACCGCCAUGGCAGGAAGGGCACCUCAGGAGAAGUCCUCCCCAGCCACACAGCUGCUCAAAUAAUGUUUAAAUGGCGCUCACCAAUUGCUUUAGGAUUACUGUUGCUAGUCAGGAUGUUGAGAACAGACAGACGGCCAAGUGGAUGCUCAAUGCCUGCUGAGGCUUUUUUUCACAUAGAAACAUGCAGGGCGUUACGAAGCGUUCCCUAAUGCAAGUUUACUAAGUUUUAUACUUUUCUCCUGUUGAUACCUUUCUAGCAACACCUCAGUGAAAGCAGUCAAUGAAGGCUAUCUGACAUGAGGCCGUUUUGAGUCAGCUUGUAGGAUGUAGUAGCCACCGAGACGUCCCGCAGCACGUAACGGAAGAUGGGCUGAAAGCAAUCUAUAUGCGCUCCUUUGUCUCCCAUUCAGCAGACACAGAGGUUCAUACCGCAGGUCACGUGAAGCAGUUAUAUCACUGCAAUAACAUCCUUCCUGCACUAUAGAGACCACAUUCCUGGGAUCACUGAUCAUUAGCGGUAUUUGUUGUGUACUGGAACGAUCACUCCUUGAAUAAUGUGUGGCUUAAUAGUGCCGUGCAUUAACAGGAACAUCCUACACAUAAAUCAGCAGUGUUCCCUGGUGGACUCGGAAAGGUUUUCUCCCGCAUUAUUUUUUGUCGUGAUGACUGCGUGUGGUAUUCUCCUAGCUCAACUGUUCGAAAGGUUUUUAUUUGCUCAUGUGAAAAGAGCACUGGGUCUGGGAGAGGGCUGAUUCCUACAAGGGGUGUGAGAACUUGCAGUGAUUCCUAAAGCUGCCAGAGGCUGAAUUUGCUUCAUCUAUCUUACAAGUUUGUCCUGGAGCCACAUUCCCUAACCACAAAUGGCUCGUGCAGAGCCCUAGGAUGCAUACUUUGCAAAGGGAACGCCAUCCUGAUGGAAGUGGUGACAAACUAUGACAGUUUAUCCACUCUAAAAGCCAUAAAGAUUUAUGGAAUCUACAGAGCCAAAGAAUGAGGAAUAUCAUUCCAUUAGCAAUGCAACUGUUUGGAUGGCUUGUCUUAAUACACACUUUUAAUGCAGAAGAAAAAAAAAAAAAAGAAGAAGAAUUAGAUAAAUCCAGAUGGUCUCCCUGGCUUUCAGAAUCUUCCUCCUCCUAAGAAGAGUGCAGUACAAAAUGAGUUUAAAUAGACCAUCUGCAGAGUGCUGCACAUUUCAGUCCGUGAGAGUUCCCAGGCAACUCCUCUGGGGGAAACAGAACUAUAUGUAAAGACUCCAUUUUAGAUUGUGACUUAAAACUGCCCCUGUCAUCAAAUCAAAACAGAUACAUAACUAAAAUGUUAUGGGAAACAAAUACAGUAUCAUGCAAUAUCAAUACUAUAAGGCAAGGGUGCCAACAGAUACCAUGAAAUCAGCACAUAUCCUUCUUUUUUUCAAGACGGUAGGACCGAAGAUCAAACUAACAUCUUAGCGCCAACAGAAAAAUGCAACCGAGCAUUUCUACAAUGUUUCCUUCCCAUUACAAGUAACUUCCAGAGGUAAACGAAGCUAUCUAAUCUCCAUCUGGUUCUCUUCCCCUGAGAGGCUUCUGAUGCUUCUUUCCCAGUGUGGUUCUCUAGCUUUUCCAUUCUUUUAUUAUAUCUCAAAAGCUGAAUUCAGCUGGAGGGCAGGGCUGCUAUUCAGAGGGACCUCUGUGAUCUACAGUAACGAGCUGACACAAACCUCCCGGACCCCAAGAAAAGCAAGUGCAAGCUCUUGUAUCUGAAAGGAAUUGCCCAUCGCAACUAUGUACUCUGGAGGAUAUUCAUAAGCUCUCUGCUGAAAAGAAACUGGAGUUCUGAGUGGACAAGCAGCGUGUCACAGUGAAGAAAGCCAGUGGCAUCCUGGACUAUAUUAGCAAGAGGUCCAGGGGCCAGCAGAGCUACGGAAGUGAUCCUUCACCUCUAUCUGGCACUUGUGAGACUGCAUCUGUGAACUGUAUCCAGGAGUCAGUUCAAGAGGUCUCCAGGAUGGCUGAAGAACAUGAUGCAUAUGAUAGGGCUGAGAGAGGUGGACAUCUUCAGCUUGGAUGAGAGAAGGCAGAGGGGAGAUCUUGUUGCUGCCUGAUAACUACGUGCCCACAGGACAGGACUGGAAGAUGGAGCUGGCCUGUUCUCAGAGGUGCACAGUGAUAGCAACAGACACAAGUUGCAACAAGGAAAAUUCCAUAUCCAGAUAGAAGAGGAAAAAAUAGAAAAGAAUCUCUAAUCUUUGCAGGCAUGGAUUGUCUUUGUGUGGUCCUUCCCCUCACUCCACUCCAGUAACUGAAUGAACAGAGGAGCACCAAUCCUAAUGAUGUUUGCUGAGCCCAGCACGGUCACCCAGCUAAGGGCCUCUGUGCAGGAAGGUAACAAUGGUACUAUACAUUCAUGCAGAAUGACAAACAAGUCUCCAAAAGACAUUAGGAAACAUCCUGCAGUGCCUUGUUUCACUGCAGGAGCAAACUGCAGAUGAGACAGAAUGCCACGGCACGCAGGGAGCAUUCAUCACAAACAGAUUGCUCAUUGUUUUACAUAAAGUAAGAUUUGAAAAGUUGUCAUGUUGCCCUCUCUCCUGGAAGGCUUGGUCACAAAGUCUGUUGUGGGACUGUGUAUACAGCCAAAGAAUUUAUGGCUAGAGUCUCAAGCACAGUGGGCCUUGGUGGUCUAUUGCUGAAUAUGUGUGAUAGUUUUUAUUUUUUUUUAAUGUUGAUGAGUGGCUAUGAUACAAUAUCAGUACUUUGUUCCACUUUUUUUUUUUCUUUUUUUGUGGCAGCUGUGUUACUUGCCAGCCUCAGGAAGGAUUCACGGCGAUUAUGAGUGAAUCUCAGCCUCUUCUCUGGUAGUCAUGGCAGUGUACUCAGGCUGAUGAGAAACUGUAAGACUCCAAGAAAGAGUUGCCCCACCAAGACACCGUGUAAGACAAUCAGCUGUUUUUUCCUACUUGCAGGGGAGUUUUUGAGCUAUGCUGCUACCCAUGAGCAGCUGUAAAUUAGCACCAGUAAGGGACAAUCUGGCCUUAGGGUAAUCCAGACAUAAAGUCCCUUCAAAUAUCCCCAAGCUGAGUUUGCACUGAAUAUAAUUAUACCCCAAGGACAGAAAUGGAACUGAUGAAAAUGUCAUCUUUGUUGUGUUUGUUUUCUGAGAAAAGAAAAUCCACUGGAGGUUAUCAGAAGAGCAAUUUUAUUUUUAGAAUACUCUUGUUCCCAUGGAACUCAAGAGAAUUUUUGUCUUUUACUUGAAUGGGAACAAAACGUUGCCCUUGGGGAAUGACUUCUUAUGUUACCAAAAAAGAAAUAUGAUUAGGAAAACCUGUGGAGUAUAUUUUUCAUAGCAAUUUGCUCUCGAAGAAAUGUAUUUCUAGAAAGAAGUGUUUAUUGUUCAUCCCGAGACAUUAUUUUGUCAUGCUGUUAGUUUUAUAGGGUACUGUUUUGGAAUUUUUUCAAUGCUUAUUAAAAUUAAUAUGAAUCACAAGUUUUUAUUAAGCAGUGGAUUAGAGGAUUGAGUCUCCUAGCAGAGUUUUACUAACAAAAAGAGAGAAUACAAUUUCACUUAUCUAUUUGAUGCUGUUGCAAUAAACUACAGUACGUUCUAGCACAUACAAGUGUAGAGGAAAGAUAAGGAUAAAAAUCCCAUCUCUAUACAGCUUAGAUCUGAAAAAGAAAAGUUUUCCUUGUGUUGAAAAAACUUUUAAGUUUCUCCCUUUCUUUUUCAAACAAGCCAACAGUUGUCUGAUAGUUCAGGGAUUGCUAAAGCACUGACAAGCUACACUAAAACUAACAUCUGUCAGUCAAAACAAAACACAGUUUUGAAACUGACAUGGGAUGCUUUUUAAACUAUGUGUGUUUUCAAGCAAUGACUGGAAGAUAAUUUCUCCUCUAUUGACAUUUUGCUAUCCUGUAAUUCUAAACUCAGUUUGUCCUUCUAGCAAUAGAUUAGCAACCAGGUGAAUAUAUCCCUGAUAGAGAGAAGUUAGAGGUUGCAGUUACGCGAUUAAAGUCAGUGCUCUUGAGGGCAGGUGUGAUGUGUGUCUAUAGUUAGGGUUAGGGUUCAGAAAAGGAUGAGUUUCACACAUAAAUUUACUGCAAGAUCUUAUAAACGUGGUGGGUCUAGCAUAAGAACUAGUGACAGCAAGGAUUUAUGCCUUCUGGCUGGCUGCAAUGGGAACAGGUGGCAGCAGCUUUACUGUUAAAGGUAGUAUAAAUGCAUAGUUUGGUCUGUUGAAUGCGUGGUUUGGAUUUAGGAGAGCAGUCUGUAGAAUUACUUAUCUCACUACAUCACAGCAGCCCUAUAGUCCUUAUUUCAGAGUCUUUUUUGUAGAAGAUCAGAUGAUGCAUCCUAGAGGCAACAGGAGUGACUAACUGUAGUAUAGGUCACUGUCAUACUUGUCCCUGCAGAAUCCUAACCCUAACUACAAAAGGGAAACUUGCAUUUAAUGUGUGCUUCUGUAGUGUUAGAAUCAGGGCUCAUGUCUCAAAGGAUGAUUGGCUUUGAUAGCGAAACUGGUAAUUCUCUAAUGCUUAAAUAAAGGGGGCAAGAAAGGAGAGGAAACAGAGAUUAUUAACAAAUCCAGUCCAUCAGGGUGAGGCUGGAAAGGAAGAGUACAGUCUAUAUGCUAUAGCACUGAAUAGAGGAUGGGUAGACUUUAAGAUAUGAUUAUGAUUAGCACUGGGUUUAGUGUCAGGCUUUAAGGAAGUACAAGUCAUAAAUAAGCAUUUAUUACUAAAUCCUGCCAGCUUUUUUCCCUUCAGUAAAAGGCAAAUUUCCAGCAAUGAACUGUCAAUGAAUCAUAGAAUCAUAGAAUGGCCUGGGUUAAAAAGGACCAUAAUGAUCAUCGAGUUUCCACCCCCCUGCUACGUGCAGGGUCGCCAACCACGAGACCAGGCUGCCCAGAGCCACAUCCAGCCUGGCCUUGAAUGCCUCCAGGAAUGGGGCAUCCACAACCUCCUUGGGCAACCUGUUCCAGUGCGUCACCACCCUCUGAGUGAAAAACUUCCUCCUAAUAUUUAUCCUAAACCUCCCCUGAAUCAGUUUAAAACCAUUCCCCCUUGUCCUAUCACUGUACAGCCUCGUAAACAGUCAUUCCCCCUUCUGUUUAUAUGCUCUCUUCAAGUCUUGGAAGGCCACAAUGAGAUCUCAACAGUCAACAAUUACAGUGUAAUAGGACUACAGACAACACAUCUAGCACUUACGCAGAUAGAGUUCAGGGAAGAAGAGGACACAGACCUGAAUUUGCUGUAGUUCCUAUAGAAUUUGAAGAGACAAUCAGUGCUAGUGCCAGGAAGCUGCUUUACUCAUCGUUAAGUCUGAAGUUCGUGACAUAUGCUAUUCUGUCCAGAAGGCUAUCCUAACAAUAGCAUCCUCUUUUUCUGUGAAAGAGAAGAUGGAGAGCUAAAUCGAGUGUUGGAUCCUACCAGACUGAUAAGGAAUAACUGAGGUGAGGGUUGAUGCUUGUAGAUGUCAACAACACCUUCAUAGUAUUCACUUAGGAUAGGGUGAGUAAGGUUACCUGCAAGUGAAGGCCCUAGUCUGGAUAUCUGGUUUCCAUCUGGAAAGCAGAGGUUGGAGGGUUGCCUUUGUUGCUGGAUCCCGCCAGGCCUCAGGUUCCAAUUUCUGAACUGGCUCUCCUCACAAUGAAGAACGUAUAAUUCAUCCUACAACAGAAAAGAGUAAAUGAAAUAAGGAUGAGGCAGUUGGUAGAGUGGCUUAGGAGCACAGGUGUGGUAAAAGAUGAUCAAUGUCUUGGUAUUAUGUACAUCAGUUCCUUAAGAGGCCAAGAAAGAAGAGCUGAAUUUGGAUUUAGGGAUCUCAAAUAUUAGUGUAGCUUCUUGCAGGGAAUGGAGGCCUACAGCAAGGAGCAAUUCUACUAAGGGAGAUCUUCUCAGUCUUUCUGGAAUUUAAGAAGAAAUUCAGACUCAAUGUUGAAAUUGCAAUUCAGGAAAGCAGAAGCUGCAGAGAUCAGCUUAUUAUUGGAGUCUUAGUUCCGUAGUGCAGGAUGAAAGGCACUGCGAGGAAGAGACUGUGCUUUCUGCAUGGGCCAGUAAGGUUUUCACUGAGAGCAGAGCAAUGGUUGGUGCUACAUUUUAGGUAACCUAUGCCUGAAAGGCUUGUUCUGUUGCUAUGUUCUGCAUGACCAGGAAUACCCAUUUCACUGUUGAUCUUUUUAAUAGAGAACAGCGGGCAUUUGACAGAAAAUACAGUAUACGUAAGAUUCUGGACAAGGUUUUACAUUGGAAUUUGCUUUGGAUUUUCAGUACUUGUUCCAUCUUCAACACAAGCCUUUACAGAACUGAGAUGAAGACUGACAUAAGAUUAAUUACUUUCAACUCAGAUUUGGAGAAAUGUUAUGGUACAAGUCCUGUUCAGCUGGGCUGGGGAUUGGAGCUGGCAAAAGACAUUGUACUUACAUCUGGUUAUUUUUGGAGAGAGGUAGGUGUUAACAGAGGUCUGAUGAAGGAAAGUGAUAAUAUUUUAAUGAUACCUUUAUGGAUUAUUUAUGAGACAGAAUAAAAUUAUUUGCUGUAAAUAAUAGAAAGCAGACAAGAAAUUGCAGUUUUGAACUGCUUUUGAGAAUGGUAAAUUGAAACCAAAUACUAAAUAAAAUAAUGAUAGUUGUGUUAUAAUAAAUGCUUUGAUUAGCUCUCAUUUUUUAUUUUAUUUCCACUGUCAUGUUUCCCAGAAUGACUUUUUCUCCCCUACUUUUCAGUUUGACUACCUAGGCUAAAACUUCUGCUCAUAGUGCUGUAUGUCUUUGCCAUAUCUAGUUUAACUUUAUGCAUGCAGGAAGAUAGAAAUACAAGAGUUAAAGAGAAAAGUAGUCAUCCAUCGUAUUAGUGAAAAAGUAAAGAUUUCAGCUAUUUUCUGUCUUCCCACAGCACAAUACAGGGUAGCACAUGAAGCAUG